GACACAUGGUAUACUUGGUUAUCGCGCAGGCUUUGUCUGCGACUCAGCUGGUGGUCCCGGGUUCAAUCCCCGGGUGUGUCA